rnacentral:rRNA from 1 species
GACGAACGCUGGCGGCGUGCUUAACACAUGCAAGUCGAACGGAAAGGCCCUGCUUUUGUGGGGUGCUCGAGUGGCGAACGGGUGAGUAACACGUGAGUAACCUGCCCUUGACUUUGGGAUAACUUCAGGAAACUGGGGCUAAUACCGGAUAGGAGCUCCUGCUGCAUGGUGGGGGUUGGAAAGUUUCGGCGGGUGGGGAUGGACUCGCGGCUUAUCAGCUUGUUGGUGGGGUAGUGGCUUACCAAGGCUUUGAUGGGUAGCCGGCCUGGGAGGGUGACCGGGCACAUGGGGCCUGCGAUAGGGCGCAGACUGCUACGGGGGGCAACAGUGGGGAAUAUUGCCCAAUGGGGGGAAGCCUGAGGCAGCGACCCCGGGUGUGGGAAGAAGGCCUUCGGGUUGGAAACCGCUUUAAGUUGGGACGAAGCGGUAGUGACGUUAACGGGUGAAGAAGCACCGGCUAACUUCGUG